rnacentral:rRNA from 1 species
UACGUAGGGUGCAAGCGUUGUCCGGAAUUAUUGGGCGUAAAGAGCUCGUAGGUGGCUUGUCACGUCGGGUGUGAAAUCCCGGGGCUUAACCCCGGGUCUGCAUUCGAUACGGGCUGGCUAGGGUCCUUCAGGGGAGACUGGAAUUCCUGGUGUAGCGGUGAAAUGCGCAGAUAUCAGGAGGAACACCGGUGGCGAAGGCGGGUCUCUGGGAAGGUACCGACGCUGAGGAGCGAAAGUGUGGGGAGCGAACAGG